GGGAGAGCAGGAUCAACGAUCCCGCACAGACUCAGAUCACCACUCUGCUCACAUACUGCUGCAGGGAAGAAAAGAAAAUAUUUCAGCUCUUUCAACUAGUCAGAAAACUGUGAUAGCAGCAACUUGUUAGAGGCUGCAGAAGCAUCACAGCGAGGCGUUUGCCAUCAGUUCCCUUCAAUCUGUGAGCCAAAAUGACCUCAGAGCAAAACCAUGUUACUGACACAUGUUCUCUGUGGAGAGUCAGGACAGAUCUCCUUUUCAUCUAAAUUUUUGUAAUUGUGUUAUCAGGUGAAGGGCUCCUCGAACUGAAACUGAGGCUGGAUGUGACACAGCUCGUGCAAGCUGGCAUGGACAAUCACCACUGAGCAUAUGGAAGGACCCCGGCUGCUGGCAGGAGGUGGUGAUCUUCUGAUCCUCAGCCCUGCCAAGCCCAGCCAUGCUAGACAGCCUGACCACCGCCAAACUAGACCAGACCAGACCAGACCAGUUAGCACUCGGAGCUCUCCGAGUCUCGUCUCUCUUUCUAGCCAUGACAUUCAGGGCUUCGUCCACCUGAGGUAAGCCCGAACUGCUGUGUGCCAGGCGGCUCUGCGGGGAGACGAGCCCAUGCCGUGGGACAUGGUCAUGGACAUGAGGAGAGAGACAAGUUGGCGUCUGUGGCCUCAUCUAUUAGUGUGUCAGAUGCCACACAUGCACACAAGGCCACA